AGAAACCCCUACUGAAUUUCUAGAUCAAAUAAGAAAUGCCAUGAGAAAAUAUACUACCCUAGAUCCUUCUUCAGACGUGGGAGAGCAACAGCUUGUCUCUCUGUUUCUGGGACAGUCAUCUACAGAUACAAGGAAGAAGUUACAGAAAUUAAAAGAGCCAGAUAUAAGGGACUUAGAGAAGUUGCUUGAAGAAGCAUGGAGAGUUUUUAGAAAUCGAGAGGAUACAGGUAAGCGAAAAUUAAUAAAAGUAAUGGCGACAGUGACAGUGGCAGCUUUGGAACAGAAAGGAAUGGUAAAUGGAGGAAGAUUUAGAGGACGUGGGAGAGGAAGGCCCUUUGGGAAUAGAAGAGGGAUAGAAUGGGUAUUGGGAAGAAAUCAGCGUGCGUAUUGUUGGGAGGAAGGACAUUGGAAAAAUGAAUACCCGAAACGUAAGGGAGUACAACAGGCUAUGAUAGCGGAAGCGGAGGCCGACUGAUGGGGACCUGGGGCAUCUACCCUAGCGGAUCCACUGGUUAAAAUUAAGCUAGGGAAGUCAGGGAAAAGUAGAAUUUUUGGUGGCUACGGGAGCCUCUUUCUCUGUUUUAAAUCAAGAAUUGAUACCUGUAAGUAAGGACUUUGUAAAUGUAAAGGAGCUACUGGCCAACAGGAAAAAGCGUUCUUUUUAAAACUCCUCAAAUUCAAGUUAGGGAAGCAAAUUGGGAUACAUCGAUUUUUGUAUUUGCCAAAUUCUCCCCAACCACUACUGGGUCGGAACUUAUUAGAACAAUUAGGAGCAGUGAUAACUUUAAACAUGGGACUGUGGAAUUAAAAAUAAAGGAAAAUCAAUUAAUUGAUAUUUUAAGUUUAGCCCUAAUGUACCCUGGGAAGUCUGCCGCAAUGACCCCCGAAACUGAAGAAAUUACUAAUCGGGUAUAUCCAGGAGUAUGGGCUGCAGGGACUCCCGGGAGGGUGAAAAAUGCCAUUCCUAUAGUCAUAGAGCUCAAGGAAGGAACCAGUCCAGUACAACAAAAGCAAUACCCUUUGAAACUAGAAGACUGAAAAGGGAUAGAAAGCCUAAUUAGUAAUUUUUUACAGCAUGGACUGUUAGUGGAAUGUGAAUCAGAAUGUAACACCCCCAUGUUACUGGUAUAGAAACCAGAUGGAACUUAUCAGGUAGUACAGGAUUUAAGAGGAGUAAAUAAAAUCAUUAAAGAUUUACACCCUGUGGUAGCCAACCCUUAUACUUUACUCACUAAAUUACGAAGUAAUUGGGUAUGGUUUACAGUAUUAGACUUAAAAGAUGCAUUCUUCUGUUUGUCUUUGGCCAAAGAAAGUCAAAAUUUGUUUGCAUUUGAAUGGGAGAGUCCUACUACUGGUAGGAAAACCCAACUUACCUGGACAGUGUUACCCCAAGGUUUUAAGAACAGUCCAACAAUUUUUGGAAACCAGUUAGCACAGGAACUUGAAACAUGGGACCCUCCCUCCAGAGAUGGAACCUUUUUGCAAUAUGUGGAUGACUUACUAAUAGCAACUGAAAUGAAACCUGAUUGUAUACAAUGGACUGUAAGUUUGUUGAAUUUUGGGGGAUUAAAUGGAUAUUGAGUUUCUCAACAGAAGGCUCAGAUGGUGCAGCAGCAGGUAACCUACCUCGGGUACGAGCUAUCUGGAGGACAACGAGAAUUAGGAACAGACUGAAAAGAAGCCAUCUGCAGAACUCCUCUCCCUCAGACGAUAAAAGAACUCAGGACAUUCCUGGGAAUGACAGAAUUUUUCAGGUGAUCCACUAGAGGAGAAGUGGAAUGGACCUUACCAGGUAUUGCUGACCACUUUCACUGCAAUCAAGAUAAAGGAACAACCAGCUUGGAUUCACUAUUCCAGAGUGAAGAAGGCCCCAGAUAAGCAAUGGACUUCUGAACCUCUGGGACCUUUGAAAUUAAAACUACAAAGACAUUAAUAUGGGAGAAGAAAAUGAACUCAUAAGCAUUUUAAUUAUAAUAUCUACCAUAGGCAUUGUUGCUGCUUGGAAUGAGAAUAUUCAGUAUCGGGUAAUUCAGACACUAGUCAAUGCUACUAGGGCAAAAGAUUGUUGGAUUUGCACAGCAUUACCUAGAGGCUCCAAACUGCCACUAUAUGGGAUAGCCAGUACGAAUUGGACUCAAAAUGUGUUUUGGAAUUUUAAUUAUUCUUGUAAAUAUGGCCAAGAGAACGAUACUUCCAAAGGACCACAAUUUGACCUAGUUACUCUAACAAAUAAUACUUUGUUCUGUUAAAAGGACCCGCAAAACAGAUCUGCAGACUUAGGAUAUAGAAAUAUAACAGGAAUAGGAUGUAGUUGGAAUUAUUCAGCAACUACCACAUACGGUGGGACUGUUUGGAGCCAAGGCUCAAAAAGAAAUUGUGGUUCUGGUCCUGGUUUGGAAAUAUAUCAACGUGGUCUGAAAAUGACCAAGGGGUCUUGUAGAUUGCCCCAUGGAUGGUGGUGGUUAUGUGGAGAUGGAUAUGCAUGAAAGACGCUACCUAAAGAAUGGUAUGGCGUGUGUACAGCAGGACAUCUAACCACCCAGGAUACUCUACACAACCACUCCCAGAUACCCCCAGGAUUUUUGAGGAGAUUUUAUUACUAAAAGUACAAAAACAAACCUCAAAUCCCUUGACAGAACGACCCUCAGGAUUUCAUAGUUUUGUACAGUGGUUAUUCCCCAUGCUAGGGGUCAGGGAGUUGGAAAAAGCAAUUGUAAACAUCUCUGCUACCUUAGAUGAGAUAUUUAACACCUCUACGAAUGAUAUUGCUAAUAUGCAAGUUGAAAUUGCUUCCCUAUCACAAGUAGUGGUACACAGUAGAAUGGCCCUAGACAUAUUAACUGCAGAAGUGGGAGGAGUAUGCACGGUAAUUAAUCAGAGCUGUUGCAGCUAUAUUAAUUGAGAAGGGCAGAUUGAAAAGGACUCACACAAAGUAUGGGAAAAGACUAGGAUUUUCCAUGAAACUAUUAAGGACAAUACGGAAUGGGGCUUUACAGAUUUAUCGGAUAAAUCGACUUCUUGGCUUCCUAAUUUUGGAUAGUUAAAACAACUAUUUAUCAGAUUAAUUACUCUGGCAAUUUUAGGAAUAUUUGUGUGUAUGCUUUUCAAAUGUUUUCUUUGGUGUUGCCAGAAUUCAGCUGAAACGUAUAGUGACUGGAAAAGAAAUAAGAUUAGACAUCAGGUGGAAACGGGAAAAUAUUUUGCUUGGACUCUUCAAAAGGAUGGAACGUUAUACAAUAUUGCAAAAGAAUUUGCAAUGACAAAGAAAAAGGGGGGAUAGAAGCAAGAGCCUGAUGGAACUUUACUAGCCAAAGCCUUUUUAACAAGCAGCAGCAAUGAACUAUGUAGCAGUGGCAUUGUGAAACAUAUAUGUAAGCACAUGGUAAUCUUUUAACGGAACUUAUCUUCAGGAACGGAAUGCAAGGCCACUAUGAGAUAAAGAGGCACAGGAUGCCUCAAGACGGCAGAACCAGCUGAAACUAGCUCUGGUUUUGUCAGCAAGGACAAGGCAGUAAAAGCUAUAGUUCACCGAGGGGACAUGGUGAUGAAGAGGAGUGGAUGAAGUAAACGACCACCAGAUGUCUCUGAAGCCCACCAAAGACUAUAAAUGCGCAUGUGGGAAUGGGUGGUUACCUAUGAUAAUGAGUUCUCAGGAAAAUCAUGAAUGUGUUAAUCACUUCUCAGAUAUCUUCUAAAUAUGUACAUAUAACUUGCAUAUAAGCUGUAUAACUGACCUGACAUGGUGCACAUAUUAGGAGGGGCGAUCUCCUGUGUGCCCAGCGCUGCAAUAAAGAAUACCUACUUAAUAGUCA